AAUGAAAGCAAAGACCUAUUAUGGCCGAGUCGAGAUCCCGGCUCCUUCGCGGGCCGGGCGCACCGACGACCCGUCCCGUCUGUUUUAACAGUGGGGCGGCGUUAGAGCAUACACGUUGGGACCCGAAAGAUGGUGAGCUAUGCCCGGGCAGGACGAGGCCAGAGGAAACUCUGGUGGAGGUCCGCAGCGGUUCUGACGU
rnacentral:rRNA from 1 species